CGCGAGGACGGGUGCGACGGAUCCUGGUGAACCCCGCCAGGCCCGAAAGGGAGCAACGGUAGCCAGGCUCUCCGGGUGCUGCCCGCUCCUUGCGUAG
rnacentral:SRP_RNA from 1 species